rnacentral:ncRNA from 2 species
AGAGGAAGCCGGUGCGAAUCCGGCGCGGUCCCGCCACUGUCACCGGGGAGCACGCUCGAACCAUGGUCACGGCGGUCCGUCAGAAGCCCGCGGGAAGGCCCGAGGGUGUGUCCGACCCGGAAGCCAGGAGACUC